GCAGUUCCUCCUAGUAAAGAUACAUUGCUAUCAAACAAAAAACAUCUCAGAAAAUUAAUACUACAUUGCACUGAACACACAGAUGAGCCAUAUUCUGAAGGUUCUGUAAUCAAUAUUGAGAAAACCUUUGAUUUGCUAAUCCCUGCACACAACCUGGAGGAUCUCUAUUUUUUGGAUUUCUUUGGUCGGAGGUUUCCCAUCUGGAUAGGUACUGCUGCCCAUUUGCCUUCACUGACGUAUUUGAUGCUCAUAGAUUGCAAAUCCUGUGUGCAUCUUCCACCAAUCAGUCAGCUCCCCAACUUGAAAUAUCUGAGAAUCAAAGGAGCCACUGCGGUCACCAAGAUUGGACCCGAAUUUGUUGGCUCUGGGGUGGGUAAUGUUAGAUCUACCGAGGCAGUAGCUUUCCCCAAGCUUGAAGCUUUGGUCAUCGAGGAUAUGCCCAACUGGGAGGAGUGGUCUUUUGUUGCUGAAGAAGAACAAGAAGCAACAGCAGCUGGUCCGGAAGGAGCAGAGGAUGAGACUGAUGCAAAUCAAAAAGGGGCCGUCCCACCUCCAGUGAUGCAGCUGCUGCCACGAUUGAAGAAGUUGGAUCUUCUCCGCUGCCCCAAGCUGAGAGCUCUUCCACAGCAGCUUGGACAGCAGGUCACCAGCUUGAAAGUGCUCCACUUAAGACACGUGCACAGCCUUAAGGUGGUGGAGAACCUUUGUUUCCUCUCAGAGCGCCUUUUGAUCAACGAUUGUGAAGGCCUAGAGAGGGUCUCAAGUCUUCCUCAUGUGAGAGACCUGCGAGUAGCUCGCUGUCCGAAUUUAAGGCGUAUCGAGGAGUUGGGUAGUUUAGAGCAGUUGUGGCUGGGCGUAGGUAUGCAGGACCUCUCCUCACUGUGGAUUCCCGGGCUCAAAUACGAAUGCCAAGACCUCGAAGUGUUCACAUGGCCUAGGAACUAAGAAACAUCCGGUCAGAUGGGCAACACAGCCACAAGCCACAAGGUAUGAACAUACCAACUGGUUUGUCAUUAAUUUGGUUGUGCAUCCCUGCUCCUUUUUUGUGUUGCCUCCUUAAUGAUCUUUUGUUUUUCUUCUGUAUAUUUGUCUUCUGAAGGAAGGAGGGGGGACUGCUCAUCAAGGAGAAGAACAUCUGCCUACCACAAUGCUUUGUGUCUAUUUAUGCCUAUAUAUACACAUUCAUAUGAUCUAUGCCUGCACGAAUUUCUAUAUAUAUACUAAAAUAAAAGCAGCGGUAUGCUACUUGAGUCCGUCGACUCUGUUAUGAGAAUUUAUGUUUGGUUGCUUGACAUUUGUCAAUAUGUAACGUGAAGAGCUUCAUAUAUAUGUUGCUGGCCUGUUUAUAUCAGAGUUAAUCCCUGUUCUUUUUGGUUUGUCUUGGGAUGCCCUGAGUCGUGCUCACUCAUCAUCGAGCCUCUGCUUCCUGCUUAUGCUUGCAAGGGCAGUGCUGUGUUCAUGCUAUCUGCUACUCGCAUCGGCUGGAACAUGUUCAGUAGUGUUUCUCUCUCACAACAAUCAGCGAACAGUACUUUCAACCAUGGUUUAUCAGCCAAGCUAAUAGAGCAAAGUCAUGGACUAGCGACCUGAAUGCCUCCUCUGUUUCCUGCUUGGGCUUGCAAGAGCAGUGUUGUGUUCACGCUAUAUGCUACUCACAGCGGCUGGAACGUGUUCACCACGUUUGUGAUUUUGUUAUACUGUCAUCAAUGCCGUCCAGCCAGAGUCCGACCAACAAAUCUGUUGACUUAAGAAGAGAUUGACACUGUCUGAUCAAGAGUCUUGAUCGAUUAAGCAUUUAGCUUAGACAUUUUGGAAAGGAAAUAUAAGACCGAUUCUACUUCGAACUCAAUUCCUCAUUGGGCCUAGACAAGAUUAGCAACGAGGCCCAGCUGGAAGACGCAUUCUGUACCGAAGGAUUAGGGAUCCUUGGAUAUACAUAAGCGACUACAAGCAUCACUAAAUCAUUAUUUUUGUUUUUUAUUCUUAUGUCGUCACUUGCAGGUUCAUUGCCAAGUCAUUAUUGAUAAUUGAUCCCCACAAACUUAACCAAGGAAUAAUCCACCAUUGGUGCCCUGUCGUCACCACUGCAGCGACCGAGACCGCCAUUGCUGCCUGUCCAAGUCUACAAGCCAUUAGGGUCGGCACUGCGAUUGCAGCCGAGGACAAUAGUGCAGGCACCCAUGGAGCUGACAAAGAAGGCCUGCUGCCAGCAGUGUUGUACGGAGCUGUGAUCCGAGGAGAUGUCAACCCGCGCGGCAGCUGAGCAGAGUCAAGUCGCACCGGCGGAGCAGAGCAUGUGUUGCAUCUGCAGCCACUCAGAUGGCACAUUUGCUGUGUCAGUGAUGUUCCCGAUAAGGUUCCAACGAGUUGUUGUUGCCAAAUAAAAUCUGCACUUCUGCAGUGUGAAUAUAAGGCAAUUAGUGGACAGAGGAACACAGAGGAUGCUUCAGUAGCGCUCUUUGCGUUCUCAGCCAGGGCUUCUCCUUCUGCAUCCUUCCAAUUCGAAUUGGUACACUAUUUUGCUUGUGUGAGUUCAAUAUUUUCCGAUUUGUUCAUCCUUCUUCUCUACUUUCAUGACUGAUUUAGUUAUUGACACCGUUUAUGUUGGUCCUAGCUGCUAGAAGUAAGAAACCCUGUUUUGUGUGGAAAUUCACAUUGACACCUUCAGCAUAAGGGAGUAUUUGGUUGGAGGUAUUGAAGUUUAAUAAGUACUAUAGUUCUUUCGUUUUAUUUGAUAAUUACUCUCUCCAUCCUAAAUUAUAAGUCAUUCUAAGAAUCUUGGAGAGUCAAACCAUUGGCACGAUUUUCUAAUUUUGUUACAUGUUUAUCUAGUCUGCUUAUGAUUAUCGGUGCUCUGUUUCUUUUCUCCCUUUCAGGUCAUCAAGCGUUGAGGACAGAAGUGACUCCAGCCUUGUGAUAAUGAUCAUAUGGUGGUGAGGGAAAUUAUCCGUCAGGUGUCUACGCAUGGACCUGGACCCCUGCAUCAAUCUGAUUGGGUAUGAUGCCAGGGCGAACUACAGACCUAUAGUAUGUUUUGUAACAAGUAUGAAUCCUAGAAGAACAAACGUGUGUGCCCUAGCAUGCUGAUGUAGAUAUGGUGUGGCAGAACAUUGCGUGAAUGUUAGGAACUUAGGAUGGGGAUCAGGGGAUGCAAUGUCGGAUGGACAUGCUGCUAGUACUAGCGUGUGCUCUGUUUAUUGAGCAAGGAGAACUGGAGGAAGCAAUAACCUAGUUCAGAUCCACUUUGCUCGCCGAUUGGAAACCUUGCGGCCCUAACUUGUUAGAUGAACUUUUGAAAGGCUUCAUAGUGAACCCUGCCGACCUUCCUUGGUAGUGGGUUAAGAGGCUGAUCACCUCGGGUGAAAGGGUAAUUCAUGACUCACAGUGAAAGUGUACACCUCUGCGUAGAGUUUAAUAAUCUGGUAGCACUAGUUUACUGCGGUUAGCAUUUUUAAUAAGUCUAAGUCUUAACACUAUCUUGGCCAUUAGUUAUGCAUAAUCCCAAAUUAAACCAUGUGACAGGUUCAAUAGUCAUCACUAUACUCAUCAUCAUUUAUAACAUCAUCAUUAAGUGAACAACUAUUCCAUCAGUUUUUCGGGUCGCUCUUGAUCGUGAGCACGACAGUUAUAAUAGAUUUUAAUAUUCUGCUAAGUCUGUACAUAUUUACUUGAGACCCGUGAUUUACCCUUUCGUCCGAGGUAGCUAGUUUAUUUACUCUCUUUCUAGGGAGGUCGGCAAGGUUCACUAUGAAACCUUUUGGAGGUUUCCCUAACAAGUCUGUGGCCACUAGGUUUUUGUGGCCUACGAACAUAGAGCUCCCCUUUCUGAAGGCAUAUUCCACGUAGGCUAUACACUUAAGAACUGUAACGUCCCGCCUCCACGAGGCCGGGCCCGCUUACAUCUGGCAGCUUUUCUAGGCUAUAGUCAGUCCCCACAGACCAACACUUCGUCUUUUCUGCACACUUUGUCCUCACUCGCGCGCACCCGGGAAGUACUUCCGGGUCGGUCACCCAUUCCUAAAUUGCUCUAGGCCAAGCACGCUUAACUUUAGAGUUCUUUCGAGAUGGGCUUCCGGAAAAGAAGUUGCAACUUGUUGGUAUGAGUCUCCUAUUAAUCCUAUGAAGCCCUGGGCCGGGUGUUACAAGAACAGAAGUUGCACUACAUCUGACCCGAAUCACACCCUUUGGUGCCCUUUCGGGUAACCACUAGCAAGUUAAGAAAGGUCCUACUAAGCUAAAGCCAGAGCCAUGUGGCACCCCCAGUUGUAUUGUAUGUCCCAGAUUUUGCCAAUAGAUAAGUCCUUGGGAGGGACAAGAGCAUCAUGUACAGAAACCAAUUCCUCUCUCGCCCAAUCGUCUAGUUGCUAAGGCAUAUUUUACCAUUCAUUUCAUACAUUCAUUAGUCAUCAUUAAUAUUGUUAAACUGAGCACUAGCCAGCUAUCCAUAUGUAUGUAUAUCCCAUAUGUAAACAAGGCAUAAGAUCUCAAUGACUAGGAUUUCCUUACUGUUAAUCAGUUUAGACACAUGCAAGUGACUAAGUAAUUAACAAGAUUAUAAAUGGGAUAAGAAAUUCUCAUGCUAUAGUUGCCUUGUUGAAAGUUUCCAUGCUGGUCCUGCUCAUCAAAGUAGUACUGCUAGUCGCCCACGAAUGGCUCACCGUGUGGACUCAUGUCAACUAAACAACAACACACAUCCACGAACAAUCAUGCAUGGCAAACGAAGCUAUUAUUAGAACAGUACACCAACAGAAAUAUGUUCAAAAGCUUGUAGAGUUGCUCUACACGUGACUACGAACACAUCAACAUGAAAAUCACCGAAACGAUCUAAAACGCAAAAAUUAUGCAUUAAACGAGAUUUCCUAUAGCAUUUAACUAGGUUUAAAAGGUUAAACUUAACUAUAUUUUUAUUUGUGUAAAACCUAAUUAACAAUUACACAAACAUGUAGAUUACUAAAUGUUGAACCUAACGCAACUUGAAUGGGUCGAUUCAGAGCCAAAAUGAGCAUUUACUAAGCAAAACAAUGAACUAGCAAAGUUGUAAAUAAUGUAAACUAAUUUUGUAAUAAAAAUAAAUCAAAAAUCCUAUUUUUAAAAUUGGCUGACGACCGCGGGUUUGAUUCCAAAGAAACUGAGGCUCUCUUUAGCAAAAUGGCAAGGUGAAGGGUUACAGGGCGAUCUGGACCGUUGGAUCUAAAAUGGAGGGUCGAGAUUAGAUCGAGGGAGAGGAGAGAGGAGAUGGCCGGCUAGAAUAGUGCUCCGGCGGUGGCUAGAGCUUGCCGGAGCUCACGGAAUAGGGCCCACGGGCCUCGGUUUACCACGCUGAGGGCACAGGGGUGGUUUGUAGAGGACAGCGAGUCCGCCCAGGCCCUUUGCGUAGCGGGGGAUGACCCUAGCGGCUUCGAUUUGAUACAAUAAGGGCAUAGGAAAGUAGAGGCGAGGGGAACACAACGAGCUCACAAUGGGGGGAAAACAAGGAUGAUGAUGACCAGAACAACGUUUGGUGAGGGACGGCGUCAUGAGCUCGGUGGAGCUAGGGUUUUGGCGACUGCGAGCUCAGCUCUAGGUGAUGGCGACUUGUGCUAGGGUAGCAGGGCAAGGCGGCGGCACCCGGGCUCCCAUUUAUAGAGGCGCAGGGGCAUGCGACGCCGUGAAGGUUGGGAAGGACGGCGGCCGGAUGAGGAUGGAGUCCUCCUGAUUUGAUCGGGAGGUAGAAGAUAGUGCCAAUAUGUGGGCCCCACAUGGCAGCGGGAUAGAGCGAAGGAAGGUAGUGUCGUUGCUAUGCGUUUGGGCCGAGGCGGUAGCGAGGUGGGCUGGCCCAGAGGAUAAAGUGUGCAUGGCCUGCACGAGGGAGGGAAGGGUAGCAGGCCGCCAUGGGCCAGCAGGCCAAAAUGGAAGGAGAGAGGAAGGAAAUUCCUUUGCCCUUUUUAUUUUUUGGAGUGAUUUUCCAAAACCAUUUUCAAAUAGUCUUGAAAAGAUUUCAGUUUUGGGUCAAAACCAAUCACCACAAAAAUAAAGUGCAACAACUUCAAUGCAUCAUAAAUUAUCUAACCUUAUAUUUGGUUUUAAAAUUCCCAAAAAUUAUUAGUUUUUCCUAUAUUCAAUGCUCACAAAAAUACAUAACAAAUUAAUUUCACCUAUUCUGAAAUGGUGCAAAAUUUUGGGUGCUACAAACACCUUUUAAUUUGUAUAUGAAUUUCACCACAAUCAUCUAAAAAGAUUUUAAAUAUCUCUUAAAUCUACAGUAAAUACUAAUUUAACCCACGACGAAAAAAUAGAUAACUAUCCGUAAAGUAUGAUACAUAUAUUUUUCUAAACUACACACUCCUAUUAUUAAGUAAAAGUAAGCAUAAGCGAUGUUCCACCAUAUAGACAAAGUAAAAUUAUUCAUUAGUAUAAAUACUUAUUUUAAGAUCUCAUCUAGUUAACUUUACAAACCAUUGACAUAUCACUUUAAGGAAUAUUAAUACUAUCGGAAAAUAAAUUUCAUAUGUUGUUCUAUAAAAUAUUACUACUACACUUAUAAUCCCAUGAUAUUACAAAUUCAAUAUAUUGGGUGUCACAAUGCAAGUUGAAAUGACUAGCAUUGCUACACCAUCCUAGAUCUCCCUUCGAGCUCUAUGGUUAAGCAACAUGGUGUAUGUUUUAAAUGAUUGUUUAUUCUAUUAUACUAGUUAAGACUGUACCUACUUUACCUAAUGUAAGGAUAAAAAAGUCUGUAGCAAUCAGUUUAGGAUAAAUUUGAAAAUUAAAAUUUGUAUUCAUUUUCAUUGUGUCAUAAGACGUGGCCAAUAAGAGCCAUGUAGUUUACACUGAGAUUUCAACUAAAUGCAUAUUGAAAAUACAAGUGUGUCACAGCUGGAUCGAACCAUCUAUAUUGUGCCAAUUGUGUCUGUAAAUCAAUAAUGAGAAAACAAAUGCAGUCUAAUAUAAGUAUUUUUUUAUUAGUCUAAUGUAUCAAACAGUAACCACAAUGCUUAUGUCACUUACUUCAGAUUGUAGCUCGUGCGAGAGCCAAUGUUGAUUCACAUGUGUUCCAUGCAGUGCAAUUCUCAAAUACUACAUUGCAUUGCAUCUACAGGCCUGUAUCACUGUCCAUUGACAUAAUUUUAUGACCGGUAUCUGCAAAUUGUCUUACCGCGUCAGACUGCUGCUUAAGUAAUCCUCUUUGUGUUGUCAUCGAGCCAAAUAUGAAUAUGGAAGGGUCAUCUGGAUCACUGUACAGAGUAGCAAACUGGUGUGUUCUCCUACUCUUCUAUAUAUGUUCAUAGAACCUCUUGUGUAGACAUAUAAUUGAUUUCUAGAUUGAACUGCCCAUAUGAAUUUUAUCUAAUUUUCCCCAUUUGAGGCAGAUACAUAUGGCUCACAUGUCACAAGACCAUAUUGUUUAUCCCUAUUCAAUUCAUUGUGGGGUAUUAAUGGAUUGAUUAUCUUCGUCCCCUUCCUCGCAUAAUUGGCUAAGCUGGUGACACAAAUUGUUGUUGUAGGUAGCAGAUGAUCUAAUUGACGUCCUGGAUUUCAAUUAUUGGAGGUUAUAUUCUACCCUUGUGCACAGUUGAGUCUUCUUAUUAACUUCCUCCAAGUGUUGUUAAACUUCUUCCACAGUGUAGUACAUUAAUAACCAACCAUUAACGUGAUUGACUAAUAUCUUAUUAAUGCAUUAACCAACCUAGUCCCUAUUAGAUUUUAUUAACCAAUGGUCGAUCAAUAUUUCCUCCCAACCGACCAGAGUUUUUUUUUUGCUAUAAUGUUUUAGGCUAUUUUCUAUUUAUAAUGUUGUAGGUGAAUAAUUCCUUAAAAAUUGAAAUAGAUCGAAUGGUUGCGUAGAGUCUUCCGAUUAAUGGCCAAAUGUUUCUGAUUAAUGGAAAUUCUAGCAUUUAUCUUUUUCCUAGCAUGUUUGAUGAGAAUUAACAUGGAGUCUCCAUUUGGGCUUGUAAGUAGUAACAGUACCUUGUAUUGAUACGUUAAGCAACCCUUCACAUGAUCAUUAAGGGCUAAUAUUUUAUUAAUGGAUUAACGAACUUUUAACCCUUCACAUGAUAGGUAUUCUCCAUUAGAUAUUUUAUUAGCUAAUGGUUGUGGCUAGAGUCUUUUUCGGCAUGAUAUUUUAAGCUAUUUCCUAUUGCAAUGGAGUUGAGUAUUUUUUAGAAAAAAUUAAAUAGAUCCAAUUUUAUUGGAUAGUUAAAGUCUUCAGAUCAAUGCCUAGAUGUUUCUAAUUAAUAUGUGAAUUUUGAGCAUUUAUCUUUUUUCUUGGCACGUAUGGUGAAAACUAAUAUAGAGUUUUCAUUGAAGCCUCUAAUUAGUAUAUUAGUUAAACAACAGUUAACAUGAUCAAUGAUGAGUAAUAUUUUAUUAAUAUAUUAGUAACCAACAGUUAAUGUGAUCAGUAUUCCCAAUGCAGAAACCAUCAUAGUUUCUAUAGACAUUACUUAUGGUGCCACCUAAGUAUUUUGCUGAUGUGGCAAGGUAGUUAUUGAAGAGAUAGAGAAAAAAUCAUAGAAACUGGGUCUAAGUUAGAAACCAUGUCUACACAAGAUCCAAGACGUGAAAUGAUAUGAUUGGUUGAGAAUAGAGAGAGAAUGAAUGUGAUUGGAUAAAAAAUUAUUGUAUAGAAACUUUCCAUUAGGACCAUAGUUUCUAUACAUAGUGUCUAUAAAAAUUAAUAGUUAUAGAAACUACAUAUAGUUUCUAGCAUUGGGAGUGCCCUUAGAUUUUUUUAGAAACAAUCAAUUAAUAAUUCCUCAUGUGCGGCCAGAGUUUUCUCUUGCAAUAAUAUAAUAGGCUAUUUUUUAUUUAUAACUAUGGACGUGAGUAUUUUUUUUAAAUAAAAUAGGUCCGUUAUGGACACUUAGAGUCUUCCAAUCUUUGCCAGAUGCUUCUCAUUAAUGUGAGAAUUUCUAGCAUUUAUCUUCAAUGGUCAUGGAUAGUUAAGUCUUCUGAUUCAUGGCUCGAUGUUUAUGAUUAAUGUGAGAAUUUUUAGUAUUUAUUUUUUCCUAGCAUGUCCACUGAGAAUUAAAGUGAAGUCUCUGCUUGGGCCUCUAAUUAGUACUAGUAUCUUAUAAAUAUAUUAAACAAUCAACUGUUAACACGAUCAUUAACAACUAAUAUUUUAUUACUAUACUAACCAAACUUUAAUGUGAUUCCGUAUUUAAUCUUUUAUAACCAACAGCCAAACAAUAUUUCCCCUUAUCCAAUGGUUAUGGAUAGUUAGAGUCUUCAGAUUAACGAACAGAUGUUUCUAAUUAAUAUUAUAGUUUCUAGCAUUUAUCAUUUGUUGGCGUGUCUGGUGGGAAUUAACAUACAGUCUCCAUAGUAGUUUACAAGCGAUGUGUACAUAUCUGAUUUCCCGUUUUAAACUUUGUGCAUUUUCAGACCUAAGUUCAUUUGUUUGUGGAUUGACAUCAUUCAAGAGCUAUCAAGUUGCUAUUAUUACAUCUUUGUCUGGUCUGAAGAAAAACUUGCAACUGCAGUGGGUCUGCUUCUAGGAUUUAACUAAUGGCAACGAUAUUAUUUUCUUUUGCUGGAUCAUGCAUCCAAAAACUCCAAGAAGUCAUUACAGAGGAAGCAAUUCAAAUACUAGGUGUUAAACAAGAGCUCAGUGACCUUCAGCAAACAAUGAGACAGAUACAGUGUUUUCUCAAAGAUGCUGAUCGAAGAAGGAUUGAAGACUUAUCUGUUAGCAAUUGGCUUAGUGAUCUGAAAGACGCAAUGUAUAGUGCUGAUGACAUCAUUGACUUUGCCAGGUUCAAAGGGAGCAAGCUACUAGGAGAACAGCCUUCUCCGUCAUCAUCAUCAAGAAAAUUAGCUACAUGCACUGGUUUUCCACUUAUCUCUUGCUUUUCUACUAUUUGGACACGACGUGAGAUUUCUGUGCAGAUUAGAAGCCUCAAAGAAAGAAUAGACAAAAUUGCUGAACUAGGUACAAAGUUCAAGUUUGAAACAGAACCUGUGUUAAGCAUUUCAGAUAUGAGAAAAACAUCCCACCUUGUUGAACCAAAUAUUGUGGGAAAGGAGAUUAUUUAUGCUACCAAUAGAUUGCUAGAGUUGGUUCUGAACCACAGAGAAGAUAAGGUUUACAAGAUAGGUAUUGUUGGAACAGGAGGAAUUGGAAAGACAACACUAGCUCAGAAAUUAUACAAUGAUCAAAGACUAAAAGGAAGCUUUGAGAAACAUGCAUGGAUUUGUGUUUCCCAGCAGUACUCUCAAGUUCCUUUGUUGAAAGAAAUACUUCGAAAUAUUGGAGUGCAGCAAGAGCAAGGUGAAAGUUUGGGAGAGCUGAAAGCCAAACUUGCAGAAGCCAUUAAUGGAAAGAGAUUUUUGCUUGUGUUGGAUGACUUGUGGGAGUCUGAUGUAUGGACCAAUUUGCUAAGAACUCCACUCGCUGCCGCUGAUCAAGUAACAAUUUUAGUAACAACUCGGCAUGAUACAGUUGCAAAGGCAAUUGGAGUUGGACAUAUGCACCGAGUUGAAUUGCUGUCAGAGGAAGUAGGAUGGGAGUUACUAUGGAAGAGUAUGAACAUAUCUAGUGAGAAAGAAGUGCUCAACUUGCGUGAAACUGGAAUUGGGAUUGUUCAAAAGUGUGGUGGCCUUCCUCUUGCAAUUAGGGUUGUUGCUAGUGUCCUAUCAACAAAGGAGACAACAGAGAAUGAAUGGCGAAAUAUUCUAAGCAAUGAUGCUUGGUCUAUGAGUAAGCUCCCAGCUGAACUGAGAGGUGCUUUGUACUUGAGUUAUGACCAGUUACCACAAAACUUGAAGCAAUGUUUCCUCUAUUGUGCCUUGUAUCCCGAAGAUUGGAUAAUGUGUCGUGAUGAUCUUGUCAGGUUCUGGAUCGCUGAAGGCUUUGUAGAGAUGAAAGAGAACCAGCUAAUGGAAGAUACAGCAGAACAAUACUACUAUGAGUUGAUCUCAAGGAACCUUCUACUACCAGAUCCUACCUAUCUUGACCAAUAUUGUUGCAAAAUGCAUGAUCUACUGAGGCAGCUUGCAUGCCAUUUAUCAAUGGAAGAUUGUUUCCUUGGAGACCCACAACUUUUGGAGGGUAUAACUGUUUCUAGACUACGACGUUUGUCAUUGGUAACAGAUAAGGAAAUUGUUGCUUUGCCAAGUGUGGGUAGUCAACAACUCAAAGUGAGAAGUAUAAUGAGUUUUUGUGGUAACUCGCUUACAAUUGAACCUUCAAUGUUCAAAAGUUUUUUGUAUGUUCAUGUUUUGGAUCUCAGCGGGUCAAACAUAAAAACAAUUCCAAACUAUAUUGGCAAUUUGAUUCAUCUGCGUUUAUUCGAUCUUCAGAGUAGCAGUAUAACUUGCCUUCCAGAGUCUAUUGGUUCAUUAAAAAAUCUUCAGGUAUUGAACUUGGUGGAGUGUGGGGAUUUGCACAGCCUUCCUUUAGCAGUCACUCGAUUAUGCAGCUUAAGAAGUCUUGGUCUUGAGGGCACACCAAUUAACCAAGUUCCAAAAGGAAUAGGUGGAUUAAAGUAUCUAAAUGAUUUGGGAGGAUUUCCAAUUGGUGGUGGCAAUGCUAAUAGAGCUAGAAUGCAAGAUGGAUGGAACCUAGAAGAGUUGGGUGCUCUUAUGCAGUUGAGGAGACUUGAUUUGAUUAAUCUGGAAAGAGUAGGUCCUUGUACUACUGAUUCGAUGUUAGUAAACAAAAGGUAUCUCAAAAGGUUAUCUCUAUGUUGCAGUGGAAGUACAGACAAACCAUAUUCUGAAGAUGUUGUAAUCAAUAUUGAGAAGACUUUUGAUUUGCUAAUCCCUGCACACAACCUGGAGAAUCUCGGUCUUUUGGAUUUCUUUGGUCGGAGGUUUCCCACCUGGAUAGGUACUACUGCGCAUUUGCCUUCACUGACGUAUUUGAGGCUCAUAAAUUGCAAAUCCUGUGUGCAUCUUCCACCAAUCGGUCAG
rnacentral:lncRNA from 1 species